rnacentral:SRP_RNA from 1 species
CGCCGGCGGCCCCGCGACGGUCAGCCGUGAACCCCGUCAGGCCCGGAAGGGAGCAGCGGCAGCGGUCAUACCGGGUGCCGGGGAUGUGCUGGCGCGG